ensembl:snRNA U6 U6 spliceosomal RNA
GUGCUGGCUUUGGGAGCACAAAUACUAAAAUAUAGAAAUGAUACAGGGAUUAGAAUGGCUCCUGUGCAAGGAAAACAAGCAAAUCCACGAAGUAUUCCAUUCAAAA